rnacentral:miRNA from 2 species
UGCUGGAUCAGUGGUUUGAGUC